UACGUAGGGUGCGAGCGUUAAUCGGAAUUACUGGGCGUAAAGCGUGCGCAGGCGGUUCGUUGUGUCGGUGGUGAAAGCCCCGGGCUUAACCUGGGAAUGGCCAUGGAAACUGGCGAACUGGAGUGUGGCAGAGGGGGGUGGAAUUCCGCGUGUAGCAGUGAAAUGCGUAGAGAUGCGGAGGAACACCGACGGCGAAGGCAGCCCCCUGGGCUAGCACUGACGCUCAUGCACGAAAGCGUGGGGAGCAAACAGG
rnacentral:rRNA from 1 species